rnacentral:pre_miRNA from 1 species
GGGGGGAGGCCGGAUCCUGGGCUUUGUCCUGGUGCCGAGUGCUCCGGGGCCUGCGCUGUUGGAUUCGCGCUCCCGCCCCGCAGCCCCCU